GGACGAUUAGCUCAGUUGGUAGAGCAACUGGUUUACACCCAGUAGGUCGGGAGUUCAAGUCUCUCAUCGUCCACCA
rnacentral:tRNA from 1 species